UUUGGUCAAGCAGCUGCAGGACUACAAUCCCAGCAUGCAGCAGGCUCCAGGGCUUUGCGCAGCUCUGGAAAGAGGAGCAAAGUGGUCCGCAUCCCACCUAGUCAUAUGCUGGGAGCUCUAGUCCCUCAACUGCUCUCAGCCUGUUUGUCGGUAGGCUUUAGAACUAUAAUCCCAGCAUGUCCCGGGAUCUGGAGUGCAUAGCCCUGCAGGGAGGGGCAGACCGGUGUUGACUUCUUGAUGUACAAAGUACUGCUGGGCUCUGAAUCCAUACCGACUCUUUGCCAAGGAUAGGUUCUUUCCAGAGCAUUGUGUCUUCUGCAGCCCAGGGCGCUGCUUCUUUCCUAAACUGUUGGGGAAACUGCCCUGGUAUCCGAGACACUCUCCAUUGUGCCACAACCCUCUUUUUUCUCUAGCCAGAGCGCGUGCUCAACUGCUUUUGAGAGAAAUCUUCCACCUGGCCUGAUUAUGAACAGCUUCAGAGCUCUGUAGAGCAGUGACCAGGACUGUGACUUCCUGGAAAUGUCACUCUCAAUGGCGGUUUUUUCAUGAAUGUG